rnacentral:lncRNA from 10 species
ACUUAUAAGUGGGACACCCAGACCAAGGAGUGGGAGAUACAGGUCUAGCUUAGCAGCGGAGACAGAUGCCUCCUUCUCCACUGCCCUGUGCCUGCCUGCACGGUGCUGCCCCUUUCCAGCAGUGGUCCUAGGUCUGCCUUCACCUGGCUUCCUGCCUUGAAUCAUUCAGUAUUUUCUAAGGGCUGUUCAGGGACAGAAGCUGAGCACUGAAUGGACAGAAGUCUCCGGAAGGCAGAAGGCAUCUAUUGAAAUGCACACCUGUUGGUGGGAUGGCUGCCAAUCAGCAUCAACUGGCCCAGAGCCAGGAUACCUUCAAAACAGUAGUUCCUAACCUUGGCUGCACAUUAGGGAGCUCUGACAGUGAAUUCCUGUGUCCCACCCCCAGUGGCUCUGAUUUAACUAGUCUGCAGUGUUUAUUGUCAUUGGGAGUUGUAAAAGCUCCUCUAGGGAUUCAGCCAGGGUUGAGAACCACAGCUUUAGAAGACAACUGCACAUGGGGUGUUUGCUGGCUGCCAUCCUAAGGGAGAUUCUUCUCAGGGAGAGGCACAUCUGCGAAUAAAUCUCCUGGUCAGAAAGUGGAAAGGGCAUCUGUCCCAAGCCCCAACUUGAGACAACUCCACCCAGAGCCACAGGUGCUGUUGGAUGGUCUGUGCACUGCUCAAAGGUGUCCAGUAGAGGGAGAUCCUGAGUCACCUGCCAGAGGACAUCACCUGCCACACGGAGGACAUCAGUGGACAGUUCCCUCAGGCCUUUCCAUUGGAUGAUAUGAGAAGAGCAUGAGCUCCAGAAGCCAUUUCCAGGAGCUGAAGGAGGUCAGAACCCUGACCACAGAUGCCGCCUGGUGCUCUCAGCCACAAGACCAAGACAGCCUCCGGGGACCCCAUCCCUCAAGCAAGAAGUCAAAUGCAAAGUUCUCCUGUUUGCUUCUGGAAUGCCUGCUUCAUUCUCAACAAAGUCCCCUCAUUAUUAAAAAAUGCUGGACACCAGCUCGCUUCAGGAACUAAUACUCUUUCUUUCAUGACCAACACAAAGAAAGAGCCUAUCUUCCAGUGUCUCUCUCAGAAGUGCUGGGAAGCUGCCCCUCCCUACUCUCCCAAACAUCUCUUCUUGCCUCAUGGCCUUGGUUGGUCCACUCACCCAUCCCUGAACCACCCAAACCAAUGCAAUGUGCUGAUUGGCUAAAGCCAACCUGGUCUCAUCCCAGGAAUAGGGUGGCUUGGCUUCGUAAAAGCCACCUCAGCUGGUAUGGAAAAGAGGUGGUUGCUAGAGUGGAUGCCAGGCACUGCAACCAAGGUUGGGGAGAAGGGGUUCAAAAUACAGUGCCCACAGUGAGGUUGCCCUAAGGAUAAGAUACAUGAGACUGCCCCGCUGGUGUGGUGUGUGUGUUUAAGUGUGUGCUGUAUGAGAGGAGAGAGAGGGAGAGAGAGACAGAGGGAGAGGGGGAAUGUUAGUUCCUCUCCUUGGACAUGCUGAUUACUUUCUUUC